rnacentral:lncRNA from 1 species
AAGUUGACUCAGGUAGGUUGGUUAGUCAAAAACUUCACUUGGUUUAUAACAAAAUAAAUUUUAAUUUAAUUUAAACGGAAAAUGCUAAAUUACAGUUGAGUAAACUGAGUUUGAAUAAAUCAAUUACCUAGUCAACUCAGUUAAUUUCACGAACUUUACCUGGGUUAGAAGCCGGUGCUGAGUUUUGAUCAGAGUCAAGACUAGCAAAGCUGUUAAAGCUGCUUCACCACCGGCGCAUGUUAGCAGGCUUUGUUUAACCAUUGUUACACCAGGUGAACCACAGUUAAUCUCCAUACUGCACAAAACACAACUUUUAAAAUAGGGACCGUCAGAUCUAAAGAAUCUAAGUGCAACAACCGUCAGAUCUUAAUUAAGAAAUCACAUCAACAGCAGCAAAACAGAUUUCAAAAUAUCUGAAAAGACAAAAAUAGAAGACGACAAAACUCUACUUUACUCGUCACAGAAAUCGAGGGGGACAAGGAAAAUCUUCUGAAAACAUAUGAUAAUCCGCGUAAUUAUAAAGUAAAAUACAAAGAGAGCCGUGUGGAAAUUCGUACAAUUCAAGCAAAAAUUUCGCGUAAUUACAGAAUACAAAAAGAGCUCUGCUAGGCUGACAGGGGAAAUAAACAGGCGCUGUGUAGUGUAAAUAGUGUAAACAAUUAGAAAAAUUGAAAAAGUAAGAAACAAAAAUUAGGCCAAAUUGCAAUAAAGAAGAAAUGGUUGAGAAAAUCUUACCAGAAGAAGAGAACGGAGCUUGAGUUGGGAGAAUCUGGAAAUCCGAAGAGCUAAAAACUUGAAUAACUGAUAUCAGAGGCAACUUUCAUUCUUUACCAUCCGAUCAAGCGGAGAAAAGUAUAGAGACGGAUAGAUGUAAAUAUAAUCUUUCAAAGAAGAAGCAGUUUGUGUGUGCGCGAGUGUGGGGGGUGUUACUGAGGAAGCUGCCCGUAAUGUCCAGAUGAGGUUCGGGUAGCUCUUUGAUCAAGUGGACUAGAGAAAAUAUCCAGUGGGCACAGGCUGCCCGGAUUAGAGUUGGACAGCGUAGUUUAAUUAAAUUAAAAUUAAAAAUUAUCGAUGCAAACUUUGCAACAGAAAUAAAAGUUUAAUAGAUUUUUAUAAAAUUUGAUUAAAAAAUUGAAAAUAUUAUGGUUAAAAUUAAAG